rnacentral:tRNA from 1 species
GAGGGUAUAGCUCAGUGCAGAGCACAUGCUUAGCACACACGAGAUCCUGGAUUCAGUCCCCAGUACCUCCA